CUACCAUGGCGUUCACGGGUAACGGAGGAUUAGGGUUCGAUUCCGGAGAGGGAGCCUGAGAAACGGCUACCACAUCCAAGGAAGGCAGCAGCCGCGUAAAUUACCCAAUCCUGACUCAGGGAGGUAGUGACAAGAAAUAACAAGCGGUGGCCUAGCCACCGAAUUGCAAUGAGCCGAAUUUACACCAGUUAGCGAGGACCAAUUGGAGGGCAAGUCUGGUGCCAGCAGCCGCGGUAAUUCCAGCUCCAAUAGCGUAUAUUAAAGUUGUUGCAGUUAAAAAGCUCGUAGUUGGAUUUCUGGCGGGGACCCAAGUACCCCUGCAGGGUGUGCUCGGGCCCGGCCAUCCUUCUGUCAACCCUCACGGUCGUUUACUCGUCCGAGUUGGUGAUCAGAUAAUUUACCUUGAGAAAAUUAGAGUGUUUCAGGCAGGCUUAGCCGGAAUACAUUAGCAUGGAAUAAUGGAAUAGGACUGAUGUCUCGUUGUUGGUUACGCGGACAACAGUAAUGAUUAAUAGGGACAGUUGGGGGCAUUAGUAUUUAUUAGCUAGAGGUGGAAUUCUCUAAUUUGAUAAAGACUAACUUAUGCGAAAGCAUUUGCCAAGGAUGUUUUCAUUAAUCAA
rnacentral:rRNA from 1 species